rnacentral:rRNA from 1 species
GACGAACGCUGGCGGCGUGCUUAACGCAUGCAAGUCGAACGGAAAGGCCCUGCUUUUGUGGGGUGCUCGAGUGGCGAACGGGUGAGUAACACGUGAGUAACCUGCCCUUGACUUUGGGAUAACUUCAGGAAACUGGGGCUAAUACCGGAUAGGAGCUCCUGCUGCAUGGUGGGGGUUGGAAAGUUUCGGCGGUUGGGGAUGGACUCGCGGCUUAUCAGCUUGUUGGUGGGGUAGUGGCUUACCAAGGCUUUGACGGGUAGCCGGCCUGAGAGGGUGACCGGCCACAUUGGGACUGAGAUACGGCCCAGACUCCUACGGGAGGCAGCAGUGGGGAAUAUUGCACAAUGGGCGGAAGCCUGAUGCAGCACCGCCGCGUGCGGGAUGACGGCCUUCGGGUUGUAAACCGCUUUCGCCUGUGACGAAGCGUGAGUGACGGUAAUGGAUAAAGAAGCACCGGCUAACUACGUG